GACGAACGCUGGCGGCGUGCUUAACACAUGCAAGUCGAACGGAGAUGCUCCAGCUUGCUGGAGUGGAUCAGUGGCGAACGGGUGAGUAACACGUGAGCAACCUGCCCCAGACUCCGGAAUAAGCGCUGGAAACGGCGUCUAAUACUGGAUACGAAACUGGCCCGCAUGGGCUUGGUUUGGAAAGUUUUUCGGUUUGGGAUGGGCUCGCGGCCUAUCAGCCUGUUGGUGAGGUAAUGGCUCACCAAGGCGACGACGGGUAGCCGGCCUGAGAGGGCGACCGGCCACACUGGGACUGAGACGCCGCCCAGACGCCUACGGGAGGCAGCAGUGAGGAAUAUUGCACAAUGGGCGAAAGCCUGAUGCAGCGACGCCGCGUGAGGGAUGACGGCCUUCGGGUUGUAAACCUCUUUCAGCAGGGAAGAAGCGAAAGUGACGGUACCUGCAGAAGAAGCACCGGCUAACUACGUG
rnacentral:rRNA from 1 species